rnacentral:tRNA from 1 species
GCCUGGGUGGCUCAGUUGGUUGAGCGUCCGACUUCAGCUCAGAUCAUGAUCUCAUGGCUUGUGGGUUCAAACCUCGUGUCAGGCU